UGAGACCUGGGAUGGGAAGCGGGGAGGCCGUGCUAGGCUGGGCUCUGGGGUGCAGGCGAGGGGAGAGGUAGGGGACAGGGCUGGACGUUUGGAAACCAAGAGAGGAGGGACUGGGGACCCCGGGUCCUGGAUGUCCGAUGGAAUAGAGGCUGCAAGAGGCGGUCCAGGAGGACUCAAGACUGGUCGUUCAGCCUGGGGGUUUGCCCUGGACCCUUGUUUCGGCUCUGGGGGCAUGUACUGGUGGUAUGUCAGGUUCCCCUUGGGCUUCGGCUCUCUCCAGUGUCUGGAGAUCUUAGGAGAGUCCUGAAAAAGCAGGAGGCGUGGCUACAGGAGGUCCGUGGCGGUGAUUGGCCGGCAGUUCCUGCUGCUCGAGAUCCCAGAGGAGGCGGCGGAGCCUGCGCAGUUCACGGUGGAGGGCGUCGUCCGUCACUGGACCCGUGAGGCAAAGGCGCGAGCUGCCCAAGGGCAGGAUGAGGGGAGGAUGGGAGGAGAAGCUUUCAAAGAUGUCUCCUAUAAAACCGAAGAACACAGAGUUAAAUUCUGCAAACGGGCAGGAGGCAGUAGUGUCGAGGAGAGCCUAGGUUGCGCCACUCCCGAAAGUAGGAAAAACGUAACCCUUUCGCAACUUCUGGAGUAGGAUCCCCUCAAACGCUACUCUUGGAGUCCCCAAGCAUCAUGGGAGUUGUAGUUCAGACUAUGAAAGGCCAUCAUUGCCUGGGAAACGGGCGAUGUAGUUGGGUUCUUGGGUCCGAGAGGAAGGAAGAAGGGCUGGGAAGUUCGUUUUACGGAUUCCUUAGAGUGAAGGGGCCUGGAACCCGGACUUAGCAUCUCUCUCUGCAGGGGGAGGAUCCCAAGCAGGUGGAGGACCGCGGCCAGGACCCAGCUGGUAGUGGCUGAGCAGAUGGUGGAGCUGAGCAGGGGUCAGUGUGGGGUGGUCAGUUCGUAGGCUGCUCCAUGAAGCCUGGUGGAAAGAUGAGCUGCUAAUGCAUCACCUAUGGUGUCUGAGCUGGGACUGUGGAGAACAUGGAGUCCAAGGAGCAAUCCAAGGUACUUUUCCAGUCUGACCCUCACCUCGUUCCAUCAGCGAGUUGAGAAGGGACGCAUUGGAGAAGAAGAACAAGUAGCCGAAAGUCUGAGACACAAGGUCCGGGUGCAGCUCGCACUGGCUAGUCAGUUCCAGGGCUGCCUGGAACACGCCCAGGGCUCUACCAUUUCUGUCUCUCAAAGAAUGGAUGCUUCUCAGGAGAUCUUUCACCAGUGGACUCUCCCAUCUUCUCACCUCCUGAAUGGACUCCUUCAAGGCAAUCCCCUCCUACAGUGGACUCUCCCAUAACAUCCAGCCCAAAGAACGUGUGCUUCCAAGAACACCACAUCCCCGUUACUAAAAUGCACUGUCCCACUACCCUCAUUCUCAAAGAAUGGACCUUCCCAAGGAAACCUUCUUCUAGGAACUCUCCCAUUUCCCUGACGGUGGCCCUGUUUGCCCACCAUUCCACCCCUGUGAUGGAGGCUUUUCAAGACAUUUCCCCUCCCAACAAUAGUUUCUCUCAAUAUUCCCAAAGCAAGGAGUAGAUACCUUUUAAGAGACUUUGCCUUUGAACAGUUUUCUUCCAUUAUCUCCACCCCAUGAAUGCACGCUUCCAAGGAGACCCACUUUCUACAACGAACUCUCAUUUUUCCCUUCAUGAUGAAUUCACUCCCAAGGUGUCCUCCUGCAAUAGACUCAUCUACUCCCCUCACUCCCAUGAUGGAGAAUUCCAAAGAUACUCUCCCUUCCAUCAAUGGAUGCCCUCAACAUUCUCAUCCCCCCAAAAAAGACAUCUCCAAGGAGAUCUACAUACAGUGGCAUGUCUAGUAAUCCCAUCUUAUAAACUGAUGUUUUCAAGGAGACCUUCUUAAACUGGAGUGUCCCAUUUCAUCUACCAAAGAUGUAUUCUAGAAGACCCCUUCCUAAAAAAGACUCUCUUAUCUGCAUCCUGUAAAAAUGGAAGCACUCAGUCUGAUCCUCUCCUAAAACCCUUUUGUUCCCUAUUCAUGUCUGAGAGAACAGUCAUCCAGAUAUUCAUAAAUCAUAAAUCUCCUUCCUACACUGAACUGUCCCAUCACCUCUACCCAUGGAUGGACAUUUCUAAAUCCCAUUCCUACAAUGGAUUCGCUCAUCUGCCUUUCAAGAAAAAUGGACCCUUCUAGUCUGACCACCUUCUAAAGACAGAAUCUCCUAUUUUCCAUCCCUGUGUGGAGAAAUGGAAUGAUCCAAAAUAUAUGAACCCCUUUUUACAGUGGCUCUCCUGUUCCUUAACCCAAGAAGGUUCUUCCACCUCACCUACAGUGAACUCAGAUUACAGACACCCAUGAAUAGACAAAUGCAAACAAAUUCCUUUCUACAAGAGAUGAAACUUAUUCCUGUUCCCAAGGAAUGAACACUUUCAAGAAAGCCUCUUUCUUAUCAAGAAAUUUCUCAUGAACCCUGCCCGAAAGAAUAGAUGUUUCCAAUGUGUCCCUCUCUUCCCAUAACAUACUCUCUUAUACUCUCAGGACAGAUCCUUCCAACAGACUCACAGACAUAGUAAACAAUCUUAUGGUUACUGGGGAAAGAGGGUAGGAAGGGAUAAAUUUGGGAGUUUGAGAUUUACAAAUGUUAGCCACUAUAUAUAAAAAUAGAUUUUAAAAAAAGUUUCUUCUGUAUAGCACAGGGGACUAUGUUCAAUAUCAAUAUCUAAUAACCUUUAAUGAAAAAAUAUGAAAAUGAAUAUAUGUAUGUAUAUGAAUGACUGGGACAUUGUGCUGUACACCAGAAAUUGACAUGUUGUAAUUGACUGUACUUCAAUUUAAAAAAAAGAAAGAAGAAAGAAAUAGACUUAGGAUAGAUCCUUGCAAUUUGACCACCUUUCCAAAAUAGAGCCUCCCAUCCUCCACCUUGUCUAGAGGGAUGGACUGUUAGAAGAUAUACAAAACCCUUCCUACAAUGAACUUGCCCUGUCCCCUUGCCCCAACAAGGAGGAAUGAAUUCCAAGGCAAGCUCUUCUCUGAAUAGUUUUAACCCCUCACCCAUAUACACAGCCAAGCCACCUAACCCAAUUGGCUCCCUCUCUAACAGUGAAAAUGGAACUGUUAAAUAAACUCUAUCACUUUCCAGA